GAUGAGAUGGCCCAAAUUUGUGAGGGCAGGUCAACCAGGGACCUUGACCCAUUCCCACAAACAACCUUUAGGAAAGUUGAAUGUCACAUCUAACAUGGUGAAGGAGCUGAAGCUUAUGCUGGAGGCUAGGAAGCAACAAAUUCAUAUAGUUGGACUCAUCUC